GACACAGCCAUGAUGGAGGUGGGAUCGAACGGUUUGGCUCGACUCCCAUAUUUGCCCAUUCAUGAGAUAGCAUGCAUGCCCUAGGGUGUGGGGGUGAGAUGGAUCACAGGCUCUUAGAGAUAGAUGGAGAUCGAAUAUUGAGUCGAAGUGAAGAUUGUUGAGAUUUGAUGUCUCAAAAUUCGAUCCACAUUGAGCCCAC
rnacentral:lncRNA from 1 species